CAUGGCGCAGCCGGUAGCGCGCUGUUCUCACACUCCGAAGGUCGCGGGUUCGAAUCCCGCUG
rnacentral:tRNA from 1 species